AUGAAUGUCUUCUUUCUCAUAAGCAGGUCAGAAUUGUGCAGAAUUGCUGAGUUGUGUAUAGGACUACAUGGUCUGUUACAUAUUUUGUUGCAGGAACUUAAAAUUCCUAGGCUGAAGAAAGGAGAGCGCAGGAGGAGGAGGAGAGAAGGAUGCAGAGAGCUGCAGACCACCCAACUGAGCGCCUGUCUUGUCUGCUGGAAAAAGGAUUGUAAUUUUCUUCCCAAAGCUGGAUGAUGGUCUGAGUGAUGUGCAUGGACUGAAAACACCACAGAGACUUCAGCAACAGUAGCGACAAUGAUCAAUGUCACACCCAGGAUUCUCAGGGUGGGAGGAUACAGCUUCACUGAUCUUUGACUAUGGGAUAAUAGGGACUGCAUUAGCUUCCGAUAUCCUAUAUGAAAGUAAUGUGAGUUCAAACAAAAAAAAGAGGUGUGGUACUGCAUUUAAAAAAAAAAACACUCAUCUGUGAUAUCGUAUUCCAGUUUGUCUUGUUUCUAACCGACACUAAGAGAUUAAAAUAUUACUGCGCAUGUUCCAAUAUUUGCACUACACCUACUAUACUGACCGCGUAAACUUAUGACCUUUCAAGAAAUCCCUGGCAGUCUUCAGUCUAGCCCUGAUCCGUUUGUGGUCUGCAGUGCACACUCUACAACGAUUUGACUCAUAGUCCUUCGGUCUUUUCUUGUCUCAAUGCAUCCUUUUCAGUUUUCAUCUAGUACUCCACCUUGUAAUUGUCACUACCUCCAGGCGGGGGUUUGAACAAAGCAUUCCUAGUAAAGACCUACUUAGACAUAGUUGCUUUCUCACGCUCUCUUUUUUGUUUUCAUAUAGCUCUUUUCACACCGACUUAUUCACUGUUUGCCAUCUUAUGUUGCAUCCAACCAUAUGACGAGUCCAAGCUGCUGUUAAUCAGUGAUUGUGUUACAGCCAGUGCUUGAAUGAGAAAAUGCCUCUGUUCUGCAGACGUGUUUCAAUGUGUACCUUUUAAAAGUUGAUGUCAUAUAGGGUGUCGUAUAGUUUUUAUAUGUUUUAUAGUUUUCUGUUCUAGAAAGCAGUUAUCAUCUGACCACAUUUUGGAAAUAACAUACAGCAAUGGGUUGUGCCAUUUGCACACAGUUGAUUGAUAUGUGGAGUGUGUCUGGCUCACAAAGAGGACAGACAUCAAUGGACAUGUCUCAUUUACCAGAGGUCACUCAGCAGGACUACCACAGACUCUCAGGCCUCCACUAUACUUCCUCUUUCUCUGAUGCAGAGGACUGUUGUGAUGACAUCACAAGCACAUGCUCCUCCUCCUCCUCGGACUGUUUCAGAAUAGACUGUUGACACUUGUGGUUUCAGACUUUUACAGGUUACUCGCACCUUGUGUCAAAUAUUGCCAUUCUUUUUGGCUCCAAAAUUCUGCCACUUACAAUAUGACAGUGUGACAAUAAAAUAUUUAUAAUUAACUAAUGAGGUCCUUGU
ensembl:lncRNA